GAUGAACGCUGGCGGCGUGCCUAAUACAUGCAAGUCGAGCGAACAGACGAGGAGCUUGCUCCUUCGACGUUAGCGGCGGACGGGUGAGUAACACGUGGGUAACCUACCUAUAAGACUGGGAUAACUUCGGGAAACCGGAGCUAAUACCGGAUAAUAUAUCGAACCGCAUGGUUCGAUAGUGAAAGAUGGCUUUGCUAUCACUUAUAGAUGGACCCGCGCCGCAUUAGCUAGUUGGUAAGGUAACGGCUUACCAAGGCAACGAUGCGUAGCCGACCUGAGAGGGUGAUCGGCCACACUGGAACUGAGACACGGUCCAGACUCCUACGGGAGGCAGCAGUAGGGAAUCUUCCGCAAUGGGCGAAAGCCUGACGGAGCAACGCCGCGUGAGUGAUGAAGGUCUUCGGAUCGUAAAACUCUGUUAUUAGGGAAGAACAAAUGUGUAAGUAACUGUGCACGUCUUGACGGUACCUAAUCAGAAAGCCACGGCUAACUACGUG
rnacentral:rRNA from 1 species